AUGGGAGUCAAGAGUCGGGAGUUAACGGGCGGGGAUUAGAGGCUGCACCGCCCCGUCUUUUAUAUCGUUUCGGUCGUCGCUCGAGCCCGCUUUCUAGCCCCCUGCGCUGGAUUCGCAGGGCUUGCAGAUUCCAGACGCGCCUCCUCUCCAAAAAGGCUUUGUGGCACCUUAAAAAGCUGGGUUAGGAUGCUAAUGGUUUCUCCGACGCCGUUGAACUACAACUCCCAUCAUCCUUGCUGCGCGCAGGGCUUGAUGGGAGCUGGAGUCCAACGAUAUCUGAAGGGAUUUCCCCAUCCUUGGUCUCAAGAGACUUAAAUUUUGGCUUCGACCCUCGAAAGCCUUGCGUCGGAAUAAAAUUUGCUUAGUUUUUAAGGUGCCACAGGACUGUGCAAUCGUGUGUUUCAGAAAGCCCAUGCAGUGAAGUAGAGUUUGCCUUUCUGCUCACUCCUGUCAAUUCCUUCCCACCCCGCAAACUGGACUGAAGAGCAACACAGAACUGUUGAAAUCUCCCAGGAACACAGUUCUGGGUUCUCCUGCAUCACCCCUGACCACCUCCACCAGCUUGGUCAGGGAGAUCCAUCAAUGCCAUCUAAAUUAAUUAUCAUACUUACUUCCA